rnacentral:rRNA from 1 species
GACGAACGCUGGCGGCGUGCUUAACACAUGCAAGUCGAACGGAAAGGCCCUGCUUUUGUGGGGUGCUCGAGUGGCGAACGGGUGAGUAACACGUGAGUAACCUGCCCUGUACUUUGGGAUAACUUCAGGAAACUGGUGCUAAUACCGGAUAGGAGCUCCUGCUGCAUGGUGGGGGUUGGAAAGUUUCGGCGGUUGGGGAUGGACUCGCGGCUUAUCAGCUUGUUGGUGGGGUAGUGGCUUACCAAGGCUUUGACGGGUAGCCGGCCUGAGAGGGUGACCGGCCACAUUGGGACUGAGAUACGGCCCAGACUCCUACGGGAGGCAGCAGUGGGGAAUAUUGCACAAUGGGCGGAAGCCUGAUGCAGCAACGCCGCGUGCGGGAUGACGGCCUUCGGGUUGUAAACCGCUUUAGCCUGUGACGAAGCGUGAGUGACGGUAAUGGGUAAAGAAGCACCGGCUAACUACGUG